rnacentral:rRNA from 1 species
UACGUAGGUGGCAAGCGUUGUCCGGAAUUAUUGGGCGUAAAGCGCGCGCAGGCGGCCUUUUAAGUCUGAUGUGAAAGCCCACGGCUCAACCGUGGAAGGUCAUUGGAAACUGAAAGGCUUGAGUACAGAAGAGGAAAGCGGAAUUCCACGUGUAGCGGUGAAAUGCGUAGAUAUCUGGAGGAAUACCGGUGGCGAAGGCGGCAUCCUGGACCGACAUUGACGCUGAACGGCGAAAGCUAGGGGAGCAAACGGG